rnacentral:rRNA from 1 species
AAACUUUCAACUGACGGAUCUCUUGGUUCUGGCAUCGAUGAAGAACGCAACAAAAUGCGAUAUGUAAUAGUGAAUUGCAUAAUUCAAUGAAUCAUCGAAUCUUUGACCGCACAUUGCGCCCGCCAGGUAUUCUGGUGGGCAUGCCUGUUCGAGCGUCAUUU